AGCAGCCGCGGUAAUUCCAGCUUCAAUAGCGUAUAUUAAAGUUGUUGCAGUUAAAAAGCUCGUAGUUGAAUUUCGGGGUCAGUAGGUUGGUCGUGCCACUGGUAUGUACUGGCCUCACUGAUUCCUCCUUCCUGAUGAACCGUAAUGCCAUUAAUUUGGUGUUGCGGGGAAUCUGGACUGUUACUUUAGAAAAAUUAGAGUGUUUAAAGCAGGCUAACGCUUGAAUACAUUAGCAUGGAAUAAUGGAAUAGGACGUUCGAUCCUAUUUUGUUGGUUUCUAGGAUUGACGUAAUGAUUAAUAGGGAUAGUUGGGGGCAUUAGUAUUCAAUUGUCAGAGGUGAAAUUCUUGGAUUUAUUGAAAGACUAACUACUGCGAAAGCAUUUGCCAAGGAUGUUUUCAUUAAUCAAGAACGAAAGUUAGGGGAUCGAAGACGAUCAGAUACCGUCGUAGUCUUAACCAUAAACUAUGCCGACUAGGGAUCGGAUGGAUGUUAAUUUUUUAAUGUACUCAUUCGGCGCC
rnacentral:rRNA from 1 species